UGCCAGGAAGGGAACUUGCUCUUCCCAGAGCGGCCUCCUCAUCUUACACUGCUCACAGGUCAGACCCUGCUUAGCAAAGGGGACAAUUCAUGCUCACCACUUCAAGACCAGCUCUGUGGAAAUACAUUCCACUCACACAAGGGGGAGGAAUAAUUUUUGCCCAUUUUUUCUCACCCUUUUGCCCCUCAUCCCCUCAAGCUGCCCCAAUCCCAGACAAAGCAGCAACGUGGGCAGAUUAAACUGUAUUAGAUACAUUCCCUGGCUUGAUUAUCAUGUAGGGUGACUAGGCCCACAUUGCAAAAAAAGUAAAGAAAAGAAAAGAGGGCAUUAAAAAAAAGAGAGAGAGGACAUGUUUUCCCCCAAAGAGGACUGCGCUCUGACCUAGAGGGCAUAUGGCCACUCUAGAUCAAGCCACUCUAGAUCAGGCCUAGUAGCUAACAAGGCCGGCCCAUUCACUAGGCAAACAAGGCCGUCACCUAGGUCACCAGCUGGGGAGGGGUACCGACGGCCCAGGCCACAUGCCAGCCCCAUAGGCUGACAGGGAUGAGUGAGGGAGCAGGCAGGCAACUGGGUGACAGACCAAGCAGGCACUCCCCAUCCCUGUCACCUGCCUGCCCCCGUGGGCUGCUCCCUUGGUGGGCCGUCCCUCCUGCCACCAGCCUGCCGUGGCACUUUAGGAUUCUGCUCUGCAGCAGAAGGGAGCAGCCUGCCAUGGCAAGGAAAGAAAGGGGCAGGCAACAGGUAUGGGGGGCACUUGCUCGAUCUCUUCACCGUGGCCGGCCACCACCACUCUGGCCGUUGACCCAGUGGUGUCGCUAGUGGAAAGGCAGCCCGUGUUCCUCCCGCUGGUGGCCCCAGCAUGUGAUGCCCAUGUGCGGGAUGUCAUGUGUAGAGAAGGGGUGUCCCAAUCACUGGAGGGCCCGCCCAGCCCUCCCCAUUGCAUUUCCAGCCCACGUUAUGACGCCAUGUACAAGGAGGGCAUUGGCAGCCCUUUUCAUUAGUGGCCUGGGUUCUUUGAAGCCUACCAUGCAAUGGUGGCUCCACCCCUGUGCUGACCAGCUGCGACAGGUUCUAAUGGUGUCGCUGCGCAUGGCAGCAUCAUUAAAAUGUCCUGCAGUGAACAGCCAGCAACAGAAGUGGGAGGAGAGCUAGCGGGCCAUCUCCAUCCCUGUUGCUCUUCUCGCUGUAGCAGGCGGAGACACCGGCAGGAUGGAGGACGUCCCUUCUUUUCAUCAUGGCAGGAGGAGCAGAGAUUUUGCUGGAGUUCUGCCUCAAUCCAGUUGUUCAGCUUUUCCAAGGUUUAGUUUGGUUAGCUUGCUGAGGAGCUGAUCUUGCAAAGUGUUUGGAGUCCAAGGAAGCUCUGCUCUUUCACAGGAGCAUCCUGAAACAUGACCUUCCUGGUGACGUCCCUUCUUCUUCCCAAUGAGCAAUGACCCGAGUGACCUCUGGAUGAACAGUCCAGGAGGGACGAAGAGAGAUAAUUAAAAGCGACAGGCCUGUGAUCACAGACCAAAGGUGAAGCCCAGGUGAAAUCCACAAUCCGUUCCAGGCACUGAAGCCAUAAACCAAACUGAAGGACGGAAUUCUUUUCAUUGAAGGAAGGUCUGUUGGCUUCUAGUCUCCUUAUCACAAAGAUGCAGAAGGACAAUUGCUGAGUCCAGGCUGGCCUGUAAGUCACGUAUCUCUCCACAUGUCCAAGAAGCUUGAACUCCAGCUGCAGAGAAUCUAUGUGUAGUUUUUCAGGCCUAAUUCUCACUAUGAGCAGUUGAGUAACAAAAGCUAGUACCAGCGUGUGUUCUUCUGAACUCUCAUUGGCUCCAGCAGCAAGGUGGGUUAGAAACAAGAGAGGGAGGAUUAAAGAAUUGAUGGCCAGUAGGUGGAGCUCUCUAUUCAACACCAAACCUGCCUUCUCUUCGUUUGAUGGGCCUGUGGGCGAGUUUGCAGGAUCUGAAGCAGCUGUACUCCAGUGACACAGGAAGUCUAAUACUCCUCAGAACCUUCCCAGCUUUGCUUGGUUCUUCAGGCCCUGAUUGGCUCUCAGCCCAGCAUUUUGAUUGGCUGGGAACCCUGUAUAAGUGCUUCCUGACACAACUCAACUUUAGGAUUCUUUGCCUACAAGUCGGGACUACAGUACUUUGCUCUGCAGGCUAAUUCCCAGAGAAAAUUAGCUUCUGGACCAUACUGAAUAGUUACCAAAUAAGAUAAC